AAAUACAAAAUUAAAACAUGGUUUAAAAGCAGGUCUUAGGACAUGGGUUUUACCCAAACGCCAGUCUAAAGAGGUGCGUUUUGAGCUGGUUUCUGAAUGCGUGGAGGUGACUCAGUCCUUCCCGUCACAGACUGUCACAGCCUCUGAUCUGUAGUCUGUCAUUUGUAAAGUCAGCCUCUAAUCACGGCUGCUGUAACAGCGGACAUCAUACCGCCGUAUACCGUCGCUCUGACAUAACGUCACCUGAGCCCCGCAGCCGUCCGUGUUCUGCUAAUUACUGUAACACACUGUAAGUGUCGAUUGUUCCUUUGGCUUUAACAGCAUUGAGUUUCCCCCGGCAGAGUAAUGGAGGAACACUAUAGCACCGUUUUACAACCAUUCAAGGUGAAGGAUGAACAAAGAGCUACAACCUCUUUUCACGAAACUACUAAUGCUUUCAAGUCUAAGUGAGCCUCAUUUUAAACAAAACAGUGUAGCUUAUAAACAAGUAGUGAUGGUCCUGAAAACUAAAUUACCAAAACUUUAAUUUUGAUUGUAAUAUUGAGUUGAAUUCUAAUUAAAUUGUAACGUAUCGAGCCUCAGGAGUCAUACCUGUGUUCUGUGUGCUAUAGGAAAUGACUUAUUAUCCCCAAAGCAAACGCAUGUGACAGCACAGAUGUUUGCUGCAGCAUGCUUGCAAACACACCGGCUGCAUGUGUGUGUGAGAUGCUUGUGUACAUUUUGUUAGCUCCGUUAUGUUGGAUGGAAUGGAUGUUUCUUGAGGCCAAGCCGCGGUGGGUUCGCUGCGUGUGGGACAGCAGGGACCUGUUCUUCCUGAAAUCUCUUCAUGUUGAGGGGCUACCUACCAGAUGCGGUCAGUAGACAUGGUCGGUACCAUGUGGAACGGCUGCUUUAAUUGAAAUGAGUCAGAGCCGUAAUGAGAACAGCCUCGUGCCGCCCUGCGGCUUCCACACAUUUCUCUCCCACUGCUUGAAAAUAUUCUCGCUGCUGAAGACGUGUCCGGCUCUCCAGCCCCCUCCCGCCUCGCUUCACAUUUCCUCAUUGGCUCCGUUUCUUUCUUUCCUUCUCUCUGCUUUCAUCACACCGACUCACCAGCUUUCCCCAUCUCCUGUGAUUGCCUUUUUCAGUGACCGUUAAUGGCUGCGAUCGUGUGUUACUUCAAAAUAAAAGCUUGUUUGCGGUUUCUCAGCUCAGAUUUUGUCCUCACAGGGCGGGAGAAUGAACCUCACAUUUGUGUGAUUGUUCAGAGGCUGUGUGGGCUGGAGGAGGCACAGUGGCAGUGACACUGCAUCAUUGUGGUCUGGUAAUGCUCUCCAUUCUGCAGGAUGCUUUGUCAAAACCUUCUUUUGCUUUAGCUGGAAUAUCUUUCAUUUAGACGUUAUUUAUAAUAGGGCAGUUAGUGUCCAUGAUGCCAGACAGAGAGGUUGAUUGUGUUAGUAACUGGCUUUGGCAGUAGAUGGCAUUUGAAAUGAUAUCCAUCACUUCCUCUGGUGAGUUUGUGGUUUCAUGUAACAAAGAAGACAGACUUCCUCGCAAAGUUAAUACGUUUACACGUCUCUCCGAGUCGGUGUUACCUCACGGUGUGCUCUACAUAAGCAUAGAAAAGCGGGUGCAGCCUUCACGCAGACAAGGGCUUUAAUUGAACUGAGAAAUCUUUCCGAGAUGAGUUUCCUGCUUGCUGUGUCAGGCCGCCUCUUAAGAGCCCAUCUUUACUCAUAUCCUGAGAUGAGGCGUGUCAGGGUGAAGUGAAAGUGCUGCAACCCUGUUCAGACCGCCUGAAGAACUAACUGUUAAUGCUGCCAGCUGAAAAAAAAAAAAAAGCCCAUAUAGAUAUUUCAGCUAAUUUAGGUGAUACAGUGAAAGUACUUCUGUAUCACAAGUCCUCUGAGGCCUUUACCCCCUAUAAGCAUGAAGGAUUGCAAAUAUUCGAGCAUCAGCGCAAAAACCUUUUGUUUGCAAAAGAGGAUAAAACUGCGGUCUCAGAGUCCUUGUGGGCUGUUAAAGUGUUUGCUCUUCAUCCAGUAGAAUAAAAGCAGCCGAGGAGCUCAAAUAGCUAAUACAGCAGAUGUAGUAGGAGACAUGACGUCGUCCAUGCCGAGACCCUAACUCUCAUGCAUUCAUUGAAGUGUUUUCUUAUUCGGGAAAAUAAUAAGAAUGCUGAAAGAAUGAGUCCCAAAGGAAUCAUUUUUUGUCGAUGGAACCAGUGCGAUGCUAACUCACGGUUUGGCCUACAGACACAACGUCAUCCCUGAACUUUUACUUCUGGUGUUCAAUAGUUCCUCAGGGAAUGAGGUAGUGUUCCCUUUACCAUAGCUUUGUCUGGAGGAAAGCAUGCCAUCAACCACUACAGCUUUGUGUUUAUCUGUGUCCAACAUCAGCAGACCAUUCAGGAGAAACACAAUGCUGUGGUUAAAAAUAGCAACCCCCGCUCAUUGGCGGUACCGACCGUACACGUCCGCACGACUUAUGGCACCUUUCUGCGGUAUCUACGUUUAGGUGAGCUUUUGCAGUGAGCAGGGGAAUACAUUGCAUCAGCAACGCGGACGAGUACCACGCUCUUUGUUUACCUGGAGGAGAAACAAGUGGUCUGAGACUCAAAAGAGAAGUCCAAUACAGGGUUGGCAUAUAACCAGAUGGAGAGAUUUGAUCCUCAAGGGAGGGAUUUGACUUUUGUCGCCUGAAGCUGAGUUAUUAAACUGUAGGUGUAGUGAGACAAAGAGCGACUGCAGAAGAAGCAGAAGCCUUAUAUGACACUGACAGUACAAGGAAGAUCUAUUUAUGGACUGAAACUGUGAGCGAGUCACAUCAGUUGUGUCUAAGUGUAAACCACAUGAAAUGUGUUCAAUCUAGUCUGUCAUUUACGACCAUGGUGUUCGCCAGCAGACUUAAUUACAAGCUAGCGCUGUUUGCUUAUGUGUCAUUCUUCCCGCUCAGUAACUUUUCCCCUCAGCGUUACCACGCUUCAUGCCAUGUGUUGACGUUUAUCUAGUCGACGAGAACAUGGUGUACCCCGACAGAUACUCGGUUUUCGGAGCUGAUGUCGCUCUUGAUUAGGCCCGUCACGAUGACUGAUGUUGUUGAACAAUAUGUUAAUAUAUAUGAAAUAAUGAUAAUUAUGCAACAAACAAUAUUAUUGUCAUUUUAACACCAUUUCAUGCCACUGAUUUAAUGACAAUAUAAUAGAAUGAUAAUGCAAGUACACUCUUUCAAGCAGCAAUUCACUUUUAAUUCUUAAAGGUAUUCAGCCAGUGGAAUGUGAACAAAAAAUGUAAAUAUCUUAAAUUAAUAAACAACAUCCUGCGCUGAUGCCUAAGUCUUAUUAUGGCAUGAAAAACCCUGCUGCUCAUUGUCAUGUUGGCUAAAAUGCUGUCUUAAGUAAAGAAACAUGCACGUAAACACAACGGGCAAUAUCGAGGUCGGCUACAAUGAUUGAGGUCAUCUCCGUAUAUGGUACGGCCUACAGUAAUUAUUGUUGUGACAUGCCUACUCUCCAUACAGAUCCUUUCGAUUUUCAAGAAUUAAGACCAAGAUACGUAUUGACGGUAAGUUUUACAGUUGGAAAAUAAAGUAAAAUCUAGUCAAGUUAGUUUUAUUCAUAGCUCAAUAACACAAAAACCACAAAUUAGCUUCAAGGGGCUUCACAAUCUGCACGGCAUACCGUCUGUCCUCAGACCUUUGAUUCUGAUAAGGAAGCACUCCCUCGAAAAACCCCUUUAACAAGGAAAAAUGUCUCAAGGACAGACCUCAACACCAGUCAGUCAUAUCUACUGCAAUUUCUUGCUACUUACCGGCUGACAUAUAUCAUGGAUACCAGUACAUCAGCAAUAAGCUAAUAUUGGCAGAUACAAACAUCAGGUCAGUCGGUGCAAUUGUACCGAUACUGAUUCAUUUCUCCAUCAAUGCCCCUUUUGUUUCAGUCGUCACAUCCACAUAAAGUUAUCAAGAGACGGCCUAUCUCAGACAAAUGACUUCCAACCCGCUCACCGAAUAAACGAGCCGACGGCCUGCUGUUGCAGUUUGGUACAUGAAGUGUCGCUGCGGUUCACUCAGCGCUUUCCUUAAUUCCAGAGAAUGCAUUGUAUAAGAUUUAAAGAGCUUUAUCCUCCAAAAUGAAGAAAAACAGCUCAACAGGAACAAUGGCUAAUGUGUGUCUGCUGGCCCAGCAGGGUUAAUCCUCAGAACAGCAGCGUCCUAUUGGCUAGUUAAAGCGGUUAGGAGGGAGGUGUAGUAAUCAGAUUAAGGACAAUGUCAUUUAAUCAAGUUCUGCGCUGUUUACAACAUUUCCGUUGUUCCCUCUCAUUACACCUUUUGCUCUGCUUGCAUUCGGUGUGCUGUGAUUGAUGAACGUGUUCUUGGAUUACCAGGAUACAUGAUAUGUUACUUUAUGCAGGAUCUUGAAAUCUACUAACUGCUCUGCUUGACCAAGCCGUGCUCCUCCUCCGUCCUACUUUAUUCCUCUGAGAUGGAUUAACUUCUUUCGGAGCUCCUGGUUUUUUUCCCCACUUCGUUGUCGCAACGACAAUCGAGACCAUGUUGCGCCGAAAAAGUGAGUUUUUUGUUUUCAUGGACAGUGUUCGCUCCGUGAAAGCGGAGACGGAGGAGCAGAAGGAGGAGCCCCCGCUGAGCCCGUAUGAGGAGUACCUGCAGGUGCUGCUGCAGAUGAAGAUGACCAGUGGCGUAAGUGAGCGGAGGCGUAAAGUGAUUCCUGCGUCAUCUGUCAAGCAAGGAAGGCGUGUGCCAGUCCCAGAAUGUCUGUGGUGUCCCGUUGCACAAUAAUACAAGAAAAGAGUUUCCGCUCUGUGAAAUCAAACGCUCGUUAGAUGCCAGCUUGUAGGACUUUUACAGAGCCUAAAAGAAUGCUUCUGUACGUUUAUUCCAUGAAUGAGUGGACCGCCCUUCCAGUCACUAUGACUCACAACAGCAACUUCCUGUUGCUCAAACCGCCGUGUAUCUUAUCGAGUUAGGGAACCGGCGACUCAUACAUGAAGCUGUUCUCGACUGUGACAUGGACGUCGGUGGAGGGAUUAAAUAACAGCGGGGGGUUGGAGGGGGGGUCGUGCACAGGCAGGCAUGGGGAAGAAAUGCUUUAUGGACCUGGAAGCGUGAUACACGUGCGCGCACGCCACCACACACACCUACAUUUCAGAGCGGCAGAGGCGUCGUUUCUAUAAAUAUCCACAUGGUAUGCACACAAGAGCUCUUACACAUAAGGUCACCCACCGCCCCAAAACAGCUGCUCGAGUGCUGCAGAACGUCGGCGUGUACGUUAGUGUGAGUUUUACUGUGAGCAUGCGUUUGUUUUGUUCUUUCUGUGAAUCACUUUGCGUAUAGAUAUAUGAGGGCAGCUACUCAGUGGUCAAGCACAUGACCGUCGGUCUUGGUUUACGUGCGUUGCACGAGCGUGUUUGCGCGUGUGAGGCCACUGUCCCCUUUUUUCCUGUGACUCGCCUCCCUGCGCUGGGAGGUCACACCGGGCUGUGGAGGCUUUGUUCCGCCACCGCUUUUCUUGCACAAAGCGCGGUGUGUGUUCGAGAGAGGGUUCGGCAUCUCACGCAAAUAAUUGUUCUUGCUGCUGGCCGCCCACUGGACGCUCAGUGGAUUUCAGUGGCUCUUGCUGUACUUACUCAUCUCUCUCUCUCUCUCUCUCUCUCUCUCGCUCUCUCUCUCUCUCUGCUGUGGUCAGUAAGAAGUACAAGGCUUUGGAUAAUUACUAGAACAACUCAAACAGCAACGGGCACUUUGCUACAGCUUUGCUUCAUUCGAUGAGGCAGGGUUAGUUUUGCAAGAACAAUCGGUUUACCAUAAUGGUUCUAAUAAACAAGCGCAUAAAAAAACCACACUGAAACCACCUUCUUUUUUUUUUUACUGACACUCAAUAUAGGCCUAUGGGUGUCACACAAUCAAUACUUGUUUUUUUUGUUGAUGGCUUAUUCACUGCCAUAUUUACAUAUUUUUUAUUAGUCAGCAGUUUCCUGUUCACCCCCUCAGUCUACCAAUGAAACGACUCCCUUUUUGCUCUCUUGUGUUUUUAAUGGCGCGUUGAUCUUUACUGUGAUCACCAGAGCAGCACACCGACCUCUGCAGAGGUGCUGAGGCCGUAAUGAAGCAGGAAGUGGCCCCAGGAGCGUUUCUUCAGAGGUUUGAAAAACAGUGCGAUCCUGUUAUCACCAACCUUGUUGUAAAAUGGUUCUGCUCACUUUGUGGCUCACGUCCUUUGCAACCCAACACCGGAUCCGUCUUGAUCCGUGAUCUCACUAUCUCAUCUUUCAUCCUCCCUAGGACAGACAUGACCGUUUCAAGUGGUUGUUAUUUAGUGCUUUUUGCAUCCACACAAGUUCCCCGCUUUUAUUGUGGACGUUGCAUUCAGGGUCAAGCAUCAAUACCUUUUUUCUGACAAUGAACACGUACAGAAGGUUAUAAAUAUUUGUUAUCUUCUUCAGUUACUGUAGAUGUUUCAAAGUUAAAUAAAUCCAGUAGUUUUUAGAUUCCAACAUCUGUACUGGUUUAAUUCCUUUUUUCUUGGUUGUUACGUCUAUAUGCGAUGACCAGGACAUGGGAAUAAUAUGAAACGGAGUCUGCCUGCACCAGGCUCACCUCUGUCUUGUGUUAGCGCUCUGUCUAUGUCAAGCAGAGAGGAAAGAGGAAACUUCAGUGUUGGGGAUGCAGGUCAAUGGGCCCUCAACGUGGGUGAAAUCAAGAGAUUUGAUCUGGAUUGGUCGUUAAAUAAAGUGCAUUAGUUGAGAUUAACUAGCAGUCUAAAUCAUUAAACUGCCCCAAUAAUCUCCAUCAGCAGUUGGAGGGUUGGAGGUCAGGAGGCUGAUCCUUAAACAAGCAUGCGUUUGUUUUCUUACAGCACACGGGCAGCCGACAUACAUUCAGUACAUGUCUCCUUUGUUCUCCGUUUGAACCUGUUUUCCAUUUCCUGGAUGAUGAAAAAAAAAUAGUAUUUAGCUGCGCUGUUCCAUUUAUAUUCUUUCAUGUACUACCACAAUAGUACAUGCAUCCCAGCCAGUGGGGUUGUGUCCUGAAAAAACAAGCAGAGCGGGGCCGGCUGGUUUCCUGAAGGGAUCCCCCACUUACUCCCUCCUGCAGGAACAAGGUCAGGUGUCAGAGGCCACAGAUGACAGAAUGGAAGUCAGGGUUGAAGCAGGAGUGAUUAGUCUUAAGUGUGUGUGUGGGUGUGUGUGGAGGGGGUUUUUACAAAAAAUUCCUCUGCAGGUUUGAGUAUGGGUUUAGGAACUGUUCAGCCAACUGUGACAGCAUUACCGACCCAACAUUGUUUGAUUUGCAUACUCAAUGUACAACUGCAUAACCUGCAUGACUAGAUAUUUUACAAGUAGGAAUGGCAAGAGGUCGAUCCAAAGAACCACGGAGUCUGCGUCUGACACACUUUCACAUAAUGUGUUGUUGUCUUUGAUACUUGCUCCACUCACAUUCAUAAUUUAUUAAGCAGCUUUUCCUCUCGGAGCUGGAGAAUUGCUUUGCUCAUGUCUUUUUUUCCAUUUUACUCGAGCAACCUCUCUCCCGUCUGAUAUCAGCAACGGUUCAUGAGCUCAUGACUCAUCUAGUUGCAGAUCAUAACCUUUAUUUUAUAAACUUCUUAUUCUAUUUGAAAUAUGGUAAAGUUAAGAGUUCACGAGGCCCCAGCAGCAAUAGGAUAAUCCCCCCCCCCCUCUCUUAAAAUGAAUCCCCUCCCAUGUAAUCCCGCCUCUCCUGUUAUUUUUCCUCCUUUCAACCCCCCUCCCUCUGCUUUUCCGCUCUCCCUCACUAUCCUCCUCACCCCAUCCCACUUACUCCACCUUACGCCUGAUGGAGCAUUGAGCCUGAAUGCUGUGGGCAGCCGUGGCCUCAGAUUCAGUGUGUGUGUGUGUGUGUGUGUGAGAGAGAGGGAGCCAGCGCAUCGGCUCCUCUCCUGCUCUCUGGGAUAUCUCGCUCCUUCCAGACAAUCGUGGAGUUACUUGCUACAACUGUGCAGUCUCUUUGUUAUUGUGUGGGAGUCAGCGGACAUUGUUCCAAAUCUGCACUUGGGAUACCUUGGAAAUGGUCUCGUGGAAGCCUUCUCUGACCUAACCUCAGCCUUUUGUUGUGCUGCUCCCGAGGAGUGGGAAGGAGGCGCAAGUUUGAUGGACAUUUUCUGGAUUUGGAUAUUUCAAAAGGGUACACGUUCCACACGGAGACACGCUGGAUAAGAUGUUGCCCCUGCAGAAAAGGGAUCAGUUUGACAACUUGGAGAAGCAUACACAGUGGGGGAUCGAGUUUGUGGAGAAGUACACCAAAUUUGUCAAGGAGAGAUCAGAGAUCGAGACCAGCUAUGCAAAACAAAUUAGGAAUUUAUCAAAGAAGUAUCAACCCAAGAAGAACUCGCGAGAAGAGGAUGAGAGCAAGUACACCUUCUGUCGAGCCUUCGUGACGUCCCUGAACGAGUUGAAUGACUACGCGGGUCAACACGAGGUUAUAGCGGAGAACCUGACGUCGCAAAUCAUCAGCGAGCUUUCACGCUACCUGCAGGAGCUCAAGUCUGAGAGAAAAUUGCACUUCCAUGAUGGUCGUAAGGCACAGCAGCACAUUGAGAGCUCGUGGAAACAGCUGGAAGCGUGUAAGAGGAGGUUUGAGAGGGACUGUAAAGAGGCAGACAGAGCACAGCAAUACUUCGAGAGGAUGGACGCUGACAUUAACGUGACUAAGGCCGACGUGGAAAAGCGAAGUUCCCACAAGGCACGACAGCAUGCUCAGUCCAGGCACCAGAUGGCAUCAGACAGUAAGAGCGAUUACUCCUCCUACCUGCAGAAGUUCAACCAGGAGCAGAAUGAGCAUUACUUCAACAUUAUCCCCAACAUAUUCCAGAAACUUCAAGACAUGGAGGAGAACAGAAUCGACAGGAUAGGAGUGUGCAUGAAGACGUUUGCAGACGUGGACCGCCAAGUGCUGCCCAUCGUGGGGAAAUGUUUAGACGGCAUGACAAAAGCAGCCGAGUCCAUCGAGCCCAAGACUGACUCAAAGCAGGUGGUGGAGUCCUACAAGUCCGGGUUCGAGCCCCCGGGGGACGUGGAGUUUGAGGAUUACGGCCAGGCCAUGAAGAGGACGGCGUCCGACACCAGCCUGACCAGCUCCAGAGAGGCCAAGGAGAAGCCCGUUGGCAAGAGCAAGGGCAAGCUGUGGCCGUUCAUUAAGAACAAGAACAAGCUUAUGUCCCUGUUAACAUCCCCCCACCAGCCCCCACCUGCCCCCCCAGCCUCAUCCCCACCCUCACCCUCUGCUGUUCCCAACGACCCCCAGUCUCCCAAGCAGCACAAGGAGCCCCUCUCCCACCGCCUCAACGACUUCAUGACCUCCAAACCCAAAAUGCACUGCCUCCGGAGCCUGAGGCGAGGGAUCACACUCAAUUCCCACGUCCGGAAUCUCAUUGAGGGCUCUGGACCAGAAGACUUCAGCCACCUGCCACCAGAACAGAGGAGGAAGAAGCUGCAGGGCAAGAUAGAUGAACUGAAUAAGGACAUUCAAAAAGAGAUGGACCAGAGGGACGCGCUAACUAAGAUGAAAGACGUGUACGUGAAGAACCCUCAGAUGGGCGACCCCGCCAGUGUCGACCCCCGGCUAUCGGAAAUUGGCCAGAACAUCGAGAAGCUCCAGUUUGAAGCGCAGAAGUUUGAGGGCUGGCUAGCGGAGGUGGAGGAGAGGAUGCCAUCCAAGAGUGAUACGAACCGGAGAAGUGGACUCUAUGAGACCCAGAACAACUCGACAGUGAGCAACAACUCGACAGUGAGCAACAACUGCGCGCAGGACAGAGAGAGGCCCUUGAGCAGCCCGGAUGGCAGCUACACAGAGGAGCAGAAUUCAGAGACUCAGGUCAAGGCCAACAUCAACCCCGUCCUCCCCACAUCCAGCACGCCAGAGUUCGACGACGAGUUCGACGACGACGAGACCCUGCCCACCAUCGGCACCUGCAAAGCCUUGUACCCGUUCGAAGGUCACAAUGAGGGCACCAUCGCCGUGGCAGAGGGCGAGCUGCUGUACGUCAUAGAAGAGGACAAAGGAGACGGAUGGACACGAGUGCGCAGGAACGAGGACGAGGAGGGAUACGUCCCCUCAUCCUACGUUGAGGUCUUUUUGGAAACAAAUGCCAAAGGUGCUAUGACAUACAUUUAACUCAGCAAGCGUGUUUUUAUUUUUGUUACUGUGAAGUCAGUAAGUGUCCGUCCACUGCCGUGUGAUUGGGGCAAAUUGUGGAGAUUAAAGAUUGUUACUGGUAGCUCAGAUAAGAGAAUAACUCCACACACACACACUUCCUGUCUCUCCUGGAAGGAAGGGCCAAUCAGAUUUGUCCAUUGUGCCUCCUGACAGUUGUGGCUGAUAGUGCGAGUGUGUGUCACUGUACACUGAACAAAACAUUUGGCACUGUGUAGGAUAUGACACUGAAAGCGAGCUGAGCCAGGCAGGUGUUGAGUACAAGAAGUGUGUGAGAAGAAGCUUGUAGUUCCUCACCUCCCAUUCACUGCAGUGCCACCUAGUGGUCAUAAAUAAAACAAAUAGAAAAAGACACGACUCCCUCAGUCCAAGCUGAGCAUGAUGGGACAAAUCACCCACUGACAAUGAUCACAUGUACUUGAUUUUUUUUAAAUAUGUAUUUUGUGUUUUUUUUGUUAAGAUUUCAAAUGACCAUUCUUUUAAUCAAGAGUUUGAUCCACAACCUCGCUCACAUAUGCGAGUCAGUACGGUAAUAAAUCAAUAAACUCGGCUAAGUGAAUGUAUGCCCCAUCUGAAGCGACUAUGAACAUUGUGUUUUGGUCACUUGUUGUAACCUUAAAGGAAAGCAUGCUCCAUGUGCAAUCACGCAGAUGUCAUUUCAAUCUGCUGUAAAAUAUGAAUACAUAUUCAAAGAUAUUUUUUUAGGCUAAAAAGAAAGAAAAAAAAAAAUCAAGAAAUAAAAAGUGCACCCCCCCCCCUCAAAUGUUGCAUGCUGUAGAUUAUUCAUAGUGCCGUUACAACAUGAACAAGUUGUGAAAGUAAUUAUUCUCUCCUAGUUAGGGAGGAUUUUAUACAACUAUUGAUCAGAUUAGUAGCCGAUAGCCCCGUUAGAAUGUGCUUUCUCUUCUUUUUUAAUUAAGUGUUGGGCUGUUCUGGUCCUUUUUUCCAGGCCAGUGGUAAAGGAAUAAAAAGGACUGAGAAUUAGCGGUGCUAAGCUAUAUGAUUCCUAAAAGUGCGAGGCUGGCUGAGGAAUGGCAGGGCAAGCAACCUCGGAGAAACCACCACGUUCCUCACGCGCUCACAGAGUCAGAAAGUGAAAGACGACCUGAAUCUAGAAACGAGAGAGACGUCCGAUUAGAACGCAUCUCUCUUUCCAAACCGUUGCAAAAACAAAAACCUAUCGGCAGCGUUGUGCUUCCCCCCGCAGAACUCUGCGAUGUGAAGCGACGACAAGAGAAAUCCAUCGUAAUUUUUGCGCUCAUAACCCUUUUUCCAUCCUUAACACCCACACAGCAGUCACAACCACAGUAUACAAUUUGCUUUUUUAGUUGUUUUUUGGCAAAGCUUCGCUUCUUAAUGUAACUAACUCCGCUUACACCACGCGGUCAUGUCCGUGGCUGUUGGCUUCCUCACUCUGAACGCCACCGCUGGCUCUGCCACUUCCCUUUCUCCUUACCUUUGCCCCCAUUGCACACACACGUGCACACACACACGUGGCGGAGGAUGUGGUCAGAGACAGGACGGAGAGCAGCAGGAGCCUUACGGACAAAAGGCCAGCUGUCAAACACCUUCAUCCGGCGGUGUGUAUGUGUGAGUCGGGCUCAUCUACACACAUCACGGUCACCCCUCCCACUAAAAUCACCUCCAUAUUCGCAGAUGUCAGAAGAAGAAGGUGCUACUCAUCUAUCUGUAUGUUAUGUUGUGUAUUUGUGUUUGUCGGAGCAGAAUGCUUGUAUGUAUGUAUGUAUGUAUGUAUGUAUGUAUGUAUGUAUGUAUGCAUGUAUCAUUUUAAAAAAGGUAUUGUGUGUUGUGAUGUUCCACUUUCUCCGCACCACGACAGCCCCCAACUCACAGAUGGAUGAUGGGUCAUUCGCCAUCUUCUUCAUCCUACAAUUCUUGUCUUGUCACUGGUGUCUGUUCCUCUCUCUGACCACGCCCCUCCCUCCCUCCUGAUGCAGCUCAGGCAAUCCCUUGGCUGCUUUGAGCCCCCCCCCCCAUUUUUACAUUUUUUUGCAACGGGCAGGGGGCCUCUCAGCGUUGUGGUGUGCUGCAUGCUUGCCCUGUCUUCCUCCUCACCCCUUUGCUGGCGACCUGGAGCAGGUGGGGGGGGGGGGGGGUUUGGUCAGCUUACGCCCCCCCCUCGCCUCCAGCCUCUCUGUUCAGUUAACCCUCAUUGCCUGGUCAUACUGUUUGAAUUAACCUGAAUGCUACUGUUUGGGUUCGGUGCCUGUGGUUCUUUUUUUAAAAUUUUGAUUAAAUCUCCUUUCUUUUGGUUCAGAAAGCACGUUUCCCUGUUUCUAACAGCGAGUGAGUGAUCUCCUCCUCCCAGUGUUCCCUAGUUUAAUCCCAAAACUGUCAAGUAGAGGACGAUAGGGACCCGAAAUGUUUUUCUGGAUGAUCUUAUGCAUAGGUAGGCCAUGGAUGUCUUGUGCAUUUGUUUUUACCGUAAGUACACAGUACAGUAUGUAUGUAAAAAUAUUAGCAUUGUAUGGUUUGAUCAGUCUAACGCAAGAUGUUGUUAGUUUACAGUUAAUCAAGCUUGUGGAAACGUCUCCACUCGGUCCAAGCAACACUUUCACCCUAAAAACAACAGCUAUGAAGGUCUUAUUUACACCUGGUGUUCUUAGGAUGGUCCACAUAACUGUCUACUGUAUAUGAAAGUAUACUGUGAUCCAUAUUUUCCUGCGAGUUGGUGACUGAAAUGUGACCCAGAUUCACCUGUUUUUGGGCCUUAACUGGCUGAUGCUAGCUGUGGUAUGAUGAAAGGAUUAAGAUGUGAUUAUCUCAAAUGUUUGGGGGCAAAUUUCAGAGUUUUUAUAAUCAUACAAGAGAAAUUAUGUCCACUGAUCCCCCCCCCCACUCCCUCUCCCUGCUCAACGGCACAUAAUGUACGUGAUUUUAACUCUUUUUUGUUUUAUAUUUGAUGAUGUUGAAUUGAGAUUCAGCUUUGUUUUCUUGUUUUUUUUUUGUUUUAAAGCUGGAAGUCUAUGUUGUAGCUUAUUCUGCCUGAAUAGGUCUAAACCCCCCCUUUACUAAAUAUGAGUAACAAUGAAAUUGUUUCGAAUGAAGCCAUUCUUAAAUAUUCAUCUGAUGCAGCAUGUUACGAACACUUCUUCAACGGAGGAGCCGUGGACAUAUUGACCAUUCGAACUGUUGAUGGAAGUAUUGAUCAAAUCUCUGCUGAAUCCAGCUUAAAAAGUCCCCCGUUGGCUUUUCACCAUCCGUCAAGACGUCAAAACAAGCCACUUUUUUUUUUUUUUUUUUCCAAUGAUAAAUCUGAUGAGGCAGAUCGCCAGCUGCCCGCGCUCUGCAACGAGACCACCACAAACCUUCGAGUCGAUGCCCCGGAAUAACCUGCCUGUACAGUGGAAAUGGCAUGUUGGAAUUAGAGAGAAUAUAUAUGAAUAUAUAAAUAAAGUUUAAAAAGGAAAACAUCUAUUUUAACUAUUGAGAGUCUUACCAUUACUUUAUCUGCUUUGCAAAGUAAGACUUCUUUUCCUUUGUAAAGGUCUACCAAAUGGUGUGUUUUUGCACUUUUUCGUUCGUGUUCCAUUUGGUAGCCCAUGCUUGUGUUUUGGAGCACUGAAUACUUUGUAUUGUGUUUACCGUGCCAAUUAAAUAUGCCUGGAAAGUUAACAA